rnacentral:snRNA from 1 species
AUCUUUGCGCAGUGGCAGUAUCGUAGCCUAUGAGGUUUAUCCGAGGCGCGAUUAUUGCUAGUUGAAAACUUUACCCAAUACCCCGCCUUGACGACUUGAAAUAUAGUCGGCAACGGCAAUUUUUGACAGUCUUUAAGGAGA